UGGGGAAUUUUGGACAAUGGGCGAAAGCCUGAUCCAGCAAUGCCGCGUGUGUGAAGAAGGCCUUCGGGUUGUAAAGCACUUUUGUCCGGAAAGAAAUCCUCUGGGUUAAUACCUCGGGGGGAUGACGGUACCGGAAGAAUAAGCACCGGCUAACUACGUGCCAGCAGCCGCGGUAAUACGUAGGGUGCAAGCGUUAAUCGGAAUUACUGGGCGUAAAGCGUGCGCAGGCGGUUUUGUAAGACGGAUGUGAAAUCCCCGGGCUUAACCUGGGAACUGCAUUCGUGACUGCAAGGCUAGAGUAUGGCAGAGGGGGGUAGAAUUCCACGUGUAGCAGUGAAAUGCGUAGAGAUGUGGAGGAAUACCGAUGGCGAAGGCAGCCCCCUGGGCCAAUACUGACGCUCAUGCACGAAAGCGUGGGGAGCAAACA
rnacentral:rRNA from 2 species